rnacentral:rRNA from 1 species
AUUGAACGCUGGCGGCAGGCCUAACACAUGCAAGUCGAACGGGUGGCGGACGGGUGAGUACUGUCUGGGAAACUGCCAGUUGGGGGGGGAUCACUACUGGAAACGGUAGCUAAUACCGCAUACCAUCGGAUGUACCCAGAUGGGAUUAGCUUGUAGGUGAGGUAACGGCUCACCAAGGCGACGAUCCCUAGCUGGUCUGAGAGGAUGAUCAGCCACACUGGAACUGAGACACGGUCCAGACUCCUACGGGAGGCAGCAGUGGGGAAUAUUGCACAAUGGGCGAAAGCCUGAUGCAGCCAUGCCGCGUGUAUGAAGAAGGCCUUCGGGUUGUAAAGUACUUUAAGCGGGGAGGCGUUACCCACAGAAGAAGCACCGGCUAACUUCGUGCCAGCAGCCGCGGUAAUUC